rnacentral:rRNA from 1 species
AUGAACGCUGGCGGCGUGCCUAAUCCCUGCAAGUCGAGCGAACAGACGAGGAGCUUGCUCCUCUGACGUUAGCGGCGGACGGGUGAGUAACACGUGGAUAACCUACCUAUAAGACUGGGAUAACUUCGGGAAACCGGAGCUAAUACCGGAUAAUAUAUUGAACCGCAUGGUUCCAUAGUGAAAGACGGUUUUGCUGUCACUUAUAGAUGGAUCCGCGCCGCAUUAGCUAGUUGGUAAGGUAACGGCUUACCAAGGCAACGAUGCGUAGCCGACCUGAGAGGGUGAUCGGCCACACUGGAACUGAGACACGGUCCAGACUCCUACGGGAGGCAGCAGUAGGGAAUCUUCCGCAAUGGGCGAAAGCUUGACGGAGCAACGCCGCGUGAGUGAUGAAGGUCUUCGGAUCGUAAAACUCUGUUAUUAGGGAAGAACAAAUGUGUAAGUAACUAUGCACGUCUUGACGGUACCUAAUCAGAAAGCCACGGCUAACUACGUG